CCUACGGGAGGCAGCAGUGAGGAAUAUUGGUCAAUGGACGAGAGUCUGAACCAGCCAAGUAGCGUGAAGGAUGACUGCCCUAUGGGUUGUAAACUUCUUUUAUAUGGGAGUAAAACAGGGUAUGCAUACCCUCUUGUAUGUACCAUGUGAAUAAGGAUCGGCUAACUCCGUGCCAGCAGCCGCGGUAAUACGGAGGAUCCGAGCGUUAUCCGGAUUUAUUGGGUUUAAAGGGAGCGUAGGUGGAAUGUUAAGUCAGUUGUGAAAGUUUGCGGCUCAACCGUAAUAUUGCAGUUGAAACUGGCAGUCUUGAGUGCAGUAGAGGUGGGCGGAAUUCGUGGUGUAGCGGUGAAAUGCAUAGAUAUCACGAAGAACCCCGAUUGCGAAGGCAGCCUACCGGGGUGCGACUGACGCUGAGGCACGAAGGUGCGGGUAUCGAACAGGAUUAGAUACCCGAGUAGUC
rnacentral:rRNA from 1 species